rnacentral:rRNA from 1 species
UACGAAGGGGGCUAGCGUUGCUCGGAAUCACUGGGCGUAAAGGGUGCGUAGGCGGGUCUUUUAAGUCAGGGGUGAAAUCCCAGAGCUCAACUCUGGAACUGCCUUUGAUACUGGAUGUCUUGAGUGUGAGAGAGGUAUGUGGAACUCCGAGUGUAGAGGUGAAAUUCGUAGAUAUUCGGAAGAAACACCAGUGGCGAAGGCGACAUACUGGCUCAUUACUGACG